AAACGAAGAAAAACCGGAUCAACUCCCCUCCUCUCGAUCCCCUCCAUCUUCGUGACGUACGAAGCCGCACAAGAUCGCCCCCGCUGACGACCUCAUAGAGAAGACGCCGCGAUCUCUUGCGAUCUUGCUGCCUCCGGGAUCGGCGUCUCUCGCCGCCACCGACCUCCAGGAUCGGCGUCUCUCGCUACCGCGGGAUCCCGCAUCAUACCAGAGGAGACACUGUCUACGGAAUCCGGGAUCAACGCCGCGGACGUAAGGGAUCACCGUCGCCGACCUUCCAGACGAGACAUCGCCGCCGCCGACCUCCGAGGGGAGACGCCGCCGCCACCUGUCGUAAACCCUAGGACAGGGCGGUUUCAACUUUCAACCCCAGGGCAGGCCGACAACUUGUCGAUUUGUUGUUCUUCCCUUAUAAGAUCCUUGAGGAUAGGUGCGGCAACUAGCGACACAUGGUGGAGCUUCUGGCGGCGGCAUUACCUGUAUCCACCUCUCCCUGGUCGCCUUUAAGAGUGUGUGCGGUCGACCGUUAAGCUUGUCAUGACGCCCUUUGAAUUUCUGGGCAAGUCGCAGCCUUUUCAGAUUCAUCAACACAAGUUACAUCAGUAGUCAAUAUGGUUCAGAUGCAUAAUAUUGCGGGGUGGAAGUUGUCGAUGUUGUUCAAUUGUAUGCUGCCCCUUGAGGGGAAGCCGUGCGUGCGCCCAGUGAGGAGAAGCGGCAAGGGCUCCAGGUGUGAGAGGCUGAAGCUCGGGGACGACGCCAUCAUGCACAAGAGGGCAUACAGGAGGUUGUCCGAAUUCAUGUUCCUCGUGCUCUGAAGGACCAAAGGGAUUUGGGUGGUCAACUCUGAAGCUUGGAAUUGUCGUUUCUUUUCUGAAAAAUCUGAACUUCUGCAUAUGUCUCAUCCCUGAACUUUGCCGCUUGACUUGAUUGUGCCCAGUUAAAAUGGAUGAGAAGGCCCGUCUAGGUGUGCUCGUGCCACAUGUGUAAGAUUGUCAGAAAUUGAUUUUUUUGUGUGUGUGGUCUCUUUACUCCCCCGCCUACCUCAAUGGCAGAUGUGAAGAACCACCUCAAUCAGAUGUGCUUUGCCGCGUCAUGCUAGAAUUAUAAUUGCCGGCUGCCGUGCAAAACCACCUUUGGCGAUCAAGAUUGAUGACCUGAUGUCACAUGGCGGCUGGUUAGUCGGCGGCGGCUGGAGCCAUCAUUGACCACGACCGUGCCAGGAGCACCGGGGAAAAGGCGAGGACAUGUUGGUACUGAUGGAAUAAUGUGGAUUGGGUCGUCCUCCUCCAGAAACAUAUUACACAGUAUACUUAAGUCGAUUGAUCCUAUUUGGUAAAAAUGCCCCUCAUUUGCUUGAUUAAACUCUACCUUGGUAAAAUUAAUUGAGUUGGGAACAGUAACAUAUAUACAUCUGCUAUGUCUGGUAUCUAUCUGGUUAUAUUAAACUGACAGUUUAUUCUUCUUGCUGGAAGGAUAUGUCGUGAAAGAUGAUCCAGAUGCUAUUAAAGUUGUAACCUUUGACUGUCCAUGUGAGUUAAUUCUAUGAACAAUACUACUAAUCCUUGACCUAUGUCCACUUAAUGGUCCUCUCACCUUGAAUCAUAUCAAUCUGCUAUCAAUGCCAAAGACUUAGCUUCGAUUGCUCACCACCCGCUUAAAUCUAUUUUUUGGAACACCUCAAUCUUUCUUGAAUUUUUUACACACCGAGCAACAUCGCAAGUUAAUUCAAGGAAUUGUUCUUCUAAACAUGUAUUCUUUCCUGUCCACGAAAUGUAAUGCUUUGUACGAAACAAUCAGCCUUAAAAACAAAUUAGUAUUGAUGUUCUUUUAAAUAUUUAAGUCGGAAACUUGAAACUUAUAUGUGUUAAAUUGUGUUGAAAAGUAAUCCCAAAAAUAUUGCAUUUUUGCUAAGAAUUGGUAUAAAAAAAUUAGAAAUACAGAAGUAAUAUGUAUAAGGUAGUACCCUAGAGAGAUGUGUAUGUUUAAUUGUGAUAUUUUUAGGAGUACCUUUGUGGAUCUGAUAUAUCUUUCUUUUGUAGGAUAUGGUUGCUCUUGCUUCAUCUAAAUGGUACGUCUGGACUGCCAUGAGACCGCGAUUGGUGUAGGAAAUCUUAAAAGCUAUCAUAUUGGUCACAAGAACUUGCAAUACAUCAAUGCACUAUUCUUUUGAAUUUUUUAGUGACACCACAACUACCACCUCUUCACUAAAUGACAGAGGUUGCUAGCAACUGCACUUGGAAAGAUUGAAUUUAGAGACUGUACCCCAAAUUCUUCCAUACUCUAAUGAUCUUGUGUUCAAGGAGCAUCAACUACAUGUUAUGUCAGGCUUGACCAUAUCAGGUGAAGGGAGUGACAAGCAAGUACUUUGUUGACAAUGAGGAGAAGACAAGCAAUAUGAAAAGAUAACCAUGUACACAACAGAGAGAAAAUGUUGACUAUUCUUCGCAUCCUACCUAUUGGUAAUGAGAGAAUAUAGCACUGUUUAUUUGAGUGAUGUGACCUAUCAACUUCCCUUUAGUUUGCAUUUCAGUAUUCUGGUUUUGAUGCCCUGGGG